rnacentral:rRNA from 1 species
GAUGAACGCUGGCGGCGUGCCUAAUACAUGCAAGUCGAGCGAACGGACGAGAAGCUUGCUUCUCUGAUGUUAGCGGCGGACGGGUGAGUAACACGUGGAUAACCUACCUAUAAGACUUGGAUAACUUCGGGAAACCGGAGCUAAUACCGGAUCAUAUUUUGAACCGCAUGGUUCAAAAGUGAAAGACGGUCUUGCUGUCACUUAUAGAUGGAUCCGCGCUGCAUUAGCUAGUUGGUAAGGUAACGGCUUACCAAGGCAACGAUGCAUAGCCGACCUGAGAGGGUGAUCGGCCACACUGGAACUGAGACACGGUCCAGACUCCUACGGGAGGCAGCAGUAGGGAAUCUUCCGCAAUGGGCGAAAGCCUGACGGAGCAACGCCGCGUGAGUGAUGAAGGUCUUCGGAUCGUAAAACUCUGUUAUUAGGGAAGAACAUAUGUGUAAGUAACUGUGCACAUCUUGACGGUACCUAAUCAGAAAGCCACGGCUAACUACGUG